UACGUAGGGGGCAAGCGUUAUCCGGAUUUACUGGGUGUAAAGGGAGCGUAGGUGGCAAGGCAAGUCAGAUGUGAAAACCCGGGGCCCAACCCCGGGAGUGCAUUGGAAACUGGCAGGCUGGAGUGCCGGAGAGGCAGGCGGAAUUCCUAGUGUAGCGGUGAAAUGCGUAGAUAUUAGGAGGAACACCAGUGGCGAAGGCGGCCUGCUGGACGGUGACUGACGCUGAGGCUCGAAAGCGUGGGGAGCAAACAGG
rnacentral:rRNA from 1 species